rnacentral:misc_RNA from 1 species
AGUAGCUGGGAAGAAAGUUUCUAUUUCUCUACAUAAAUUGAAGGGGAAAAAGGAAAAAAAAAACUUAUCAAAAGAAUGGGGGGAAUGCAUGGGACUACGUAACUGUCUGAGUCUGACCAGCAUCCUUUAUUCAAGACAAAUGUGGGAGUCCUGAGCAUUUUAUGCAAUUAAGACGUGAAUACUGAGGAAAAGAAAAUUGAUGAAAGUUGGGAAGUUGUACAUAGCAGAGCUUUGUUCCUUGUUACUUGUUGAUGUCUUGUUUUUUCUUCCUACCUUAGUUGGCAUUUUAGUAAGAUUUGUUUUCCCUUUUGUUCUCAUCUAGGUUAUCAUUCGAUCUUUUGAUAUACAAGCUUCUACUUUAUUUUUAUGCAAGUCUCCAAAUUCUGUGUUAUCCUUGGAUGACUUCUUUCUUUACAUUUCUUGCAUUGACAAAUUUUUUCCCCUUUAUUGUAGGGCAAUGGGGGAUGUAUCUGAU